rnacentral:rRNA from 1 species
CGGGUUCUCCGGAAUGACCGAGCACACUGUAGAGACUGCCUNGGAAACAAGGAGGAAGGUGUAGGCAACGAUAGGUGGUAUGCCCCGAAUUUCCUGGGCUACACGCGCGCAACAAUGGUAGGGACAAUGGGCUACAACUCCGAAAGGAGAAGUUAAUCCUCUAAACCCUAUCCUAGUUCAGAUUGAGGACUGCAACCCGUCCUCAUGACGCCGGAAUUCGUAGUAAUCGCUUGUCAUCAGCAAGCGGUGAAUAAGUCCCUGUGCCUUGCACACACCGCCCGUCACACCAUUCGAGUAGGGUUUAGGUGAGGGCUGGGCUUUUGCCUAUUUCGAACCUAAGUUCUGUGAGAGGGGUUAAGUCGUAACAAGGUAACC